rnacentral:rRNA from 1 species
UCAAGCUAUGAAGAGCGCAGGGCGGAUGCCUUGGCGCCAGGAGCCGAAGAAGGACGGGGUAAGCACCGAAAUGCCACGGGGAGUCGCAAGCAGGCAUCGAUCCGUGGAUCUCCGAAUGGGGCAACCCACUACCUGUAAUGGGGUAGUAUCCUUACCUGAACAAAAUAGGGUAAGGAAGGUAACCGAGGGAACUGAAACAUCUAAGUACCUCGAGGAAAAGAAAUCAAACGAGAUUCCCUAAGUAGCGGCGAGCGAACGGGGAAGAGCCUAAACCCAUACAAUGUCAAGCCCGCAAGCGUUGUUGUAUGGGGGUUGUACGGCUUAAUGGGAGCGAUUGCGGUAGCUCGCAGGAGAGAUAGGAUCUAGCAGAAGGUUCUGGAAAGGACCCCCAAAGAGAGUGAAAGGCUCGUAUGCGAAAGGUUCUAAGUCCCUGUAUUAAGUUCGUGAGUAGCACGGGUCACGUGGAAUCCUGUGUGAAACUGGGAAGACCACUUUCCAAGGCUAAAUACUCCCUGGCGACCGAUAGAGAACAGUACCGUGAGGGAAAGGUGAAAAGCACCCCGGGAGGGGAGUGAAAUAGAACCUGAAACCCUGUGCUUACAAACAGUCGGAGGACGUUGAUGUCUGACGGCGUACUUUUUGUAGAACGGACCGGCGAGUUAUGUUAGGCAGCGAGGUUAAGCAUGUAAGAUGCGAAGCCGUAGGGAAACCGAGUCUGAAAAGGGCGCAUGAGUUGUCUGACAUAGACCCGAAACCGAGUGAUCUACCCAUGGCCAGGGUGAAGUUGAGGUAAAACUCAAUGGAGGCCCGAACCCACUAACGUUGAAAAGUUAGGGGAUGAGCUGUGGGUAGGGGUGAAAAGCCAAUCGAACUCGGAGAUAGCUGGUUCUCCUCGAAAUAGCUUUAGGGCUAGCCUCAGAGUAAGAGUCAUGGAGGUAGAGCACUGAUCGAGCUAGGGGCCCAACAAGGUUACCGAACUCUUUCAAACUCCGAAUGCCAUGAGUUAAUCUCUGGGAGUCAGACUGCGGGGGAUAAGCUCCGUAGUCGAAAGGGAAACAGCCCAGACCGACAGCUAAGGUCCCCAAGUGCGAACUAAGUGGAAAAGGAUGUGGAACUGCACAGACAACCAGGAUGUUGGCUUAGAAGCAGCCACGCAUUUAAAGAGUGCGUAAUAGCUCACUGGUCAAGUGGUUCUGCGCCGAAAAUGUAACGGGGCUCAAGUUCGCCACCGAAGCUUCGGAUACGCUGAUUACUGAUGUAGUUGGUGUAUGGUAGAGGAGCGUUCCAACAGCGUCGAAGGUAGACCGAAAGGACUGCUGGAGCGGUUGGAAGUGAGAAUGCCGGUAUGAGUAGCGAAAAGGAAGGUGAGAAUCCUUCCCGCCGAAAACCUAAGGAUUCCUGAGGAAGGUUCGUCCGCUCAGGGUAAGUCGGGACCUAAGACGAGGCCGAAGGGCGUAGUCGAUGGACAACAGGUUGAAAUUCCUGUACCACCGAAGAUCGUUUGAGUGAAGUGGUGACACAGAAGGGUAGGUCAUCAUCCUGAUGGAUGGGUGUCCAAGCGAGUAGGGAGCAAGGUAGGCAAAUCCGCCUUGCACGAUCCUGAGACGUGAUGGGGAAGCGAAUUAAGUAGCCGAACUGAUUGAUCCCAUGCUGUCAAGAAAAGCCACUAGCGAGAUUGUAGGUGCCCGUACCGCAAACCGACACAGGUAGGUAAGGAGAGAAUCCUAAGGCGCGCGAGAGAACCCCUGUUAAGGAACUCGGCAAAAUGACUCCGUAACUUCGGGAUAAGGAGUGCCUUUGUAGUGUGACAUUGAACAGAUGAAGCAUGAAGAGGCCGCAGAGAAAUGGCCCAAGCGACUGUUUAUCAAAAACACAGGUCUCUGCUAAGUGGCAACACGAAGUAUAGGGGCUGACGCCUGCCCAAUGCCGGAAGGUUAAGAGGAGAGGUUAGGAGCAAUCCGAAGCUUCGAAUCGAAGCCCCGGUCAAUGGCGGCCGUAACUAUAACGGUCCUAAGGUAGCGAAAUUCCUUGUCGGGUAAGUUCCGACCUGCACGAAAGGCGUAACGACUUGGGCGCUGUCUCGACAGGGGGCUCGGCGAAAUUGUAGUACCUGUGAAGAUGCAGGUUACCCGCGACAAGACGGAAAGACCCCAUGGAGCUUCACUGCAGCUUGGUAUUGAAUUUUGGUAUGGAAUGUAUAGGAUAGGUGGGAGACUUGGAAGCCGGGACGCUAGUUUCGGUGGAGUCAGAAGUGGAAUACCACUCUUUUCAUAGUAGAGUUCUAACUGGCGGCCAUGAAUCUGGUCACAGGACAGUAUCAGGUGGGCAGUUUGACUGGGGCGGUCGCCUCCUAAAAGGUAACGGAGGCGCCCAAAGGUUCCCUCGGUGCGGAUGGAAAUCGCACGAAAGAGUGUAAAGGCAGAAGGGAGCUUAACUGCGAGACAGACAAGUCGAGCAGGUACGAAAGUAGGGCUUAGUGAUCCGGUGGUUCUGUGUGGAAGGGCCAUCGCUCAACGGAUAAAAGCUACCCUGGGGAUAACAGGCUUAUCUCCCCCAAGAGUUCACAUCGACGGGGAGGUUUGGCACCUCGAUGUCGGCUCGUCGCAUCCUGGAGCUGAAGAAGGUUCCAAGGGUUGGGCUGUUCGCCCAUUAAAGCGGUACGCGAGCUGGGUUCAGAACGUCGUGAGACAGUUCGGUCCCUAUCUGUCGCGGGCGCAGGAGAUUUGCGAGGAUCUGUCCCUAGUACGAGAGGACCGGGAUGGACGCACCGCUGGAGUACCAGUUGUAUCGCCAGAUGCACGGCUGGAUACCCAAGUGCGGGACGGAUAAGCGCUGAAAGCAUCUAAGCGCGAAGCCAGCCUCAAGAUGAGAUCUCCCACAGAGUGAAUCUGGUAAGACCCCUCAUAGAAGAUGAGGUAGAUAGGCCGGGUGUGUAAGGGCAGUAAUGUCUUAAGCUGACCGGUACUAAUGGUUCGAGGGCUUGACCUA